rnacentral:rRNA from 1 species
CCCGCUGAACUUAAGCAUAUUACUCAGCGGAGGAAAAGAAAACAACCGUGAUUCCCUCAGUCAGCGGCGAGCGAAGAGGGACCGGACUCGUUGCCGAAUCGGGCCUUACAUGACUUUGAGUUGUGGCAAAAAUGCGGCGCUGUGAAUGGUGUGGGAGUGGCGAAAUUCAGUGUGCAAAGCAAACCCAUUGCUGAAUACAACCCUUCGUGUGAGUACUGAGCCAUAGAAGGUGUUAGCCCAUUGAGCCAUAAACCCGAGCAUCACACUUGUGUCGAGCAAAGAGAGUAGCACUGCUUGGGAAUGCAGUGUAAAGCGGCAGGUAUGCGUCUGCCAAAGUUAAAUACAGAGUAGGAAGACCGAUAGCGAACAAGUAGCGUGAGCGAAAGUUUGAAAAGCACUUUGGAAAGAGAGUGACAUAGAACCUGAAGUCGUGACAACGACAAUGGAAGCACCUCCAUUUCAUUUUUGGUCAACGCCACUUCCACAGCAUCAUCGCAAGGGACUGAAAACACAACCCCGGGCGUAACGAGUGCAGGACUGGAAGAUUGGAGCAUGGGACAGAAAGUGGGUAGCACUGCCGGGCAAUCCGGAAAGUGAGCGCCUACUUAUUCUUCGACCCUUGAGAGUUGACAUCGUAAAUGGGGUGCCUCCACCCGUCUUGAAACACGG